rnacentral:lncRNA from 10 species
CUGUUGUUCAUCAUUUCCUUCCCUAAUUUGUUCCAAGAUUAGCUGACUUGUCACAGUCAUUUCCUCGUGGUCCACCACCCUGCCAUGACGGUUGAAGGAUAGCAUCAUUGACUGGACUUGCUUCAUUACUAUGGCUUUGCAGAAUGGAUCAACCUCAGGUAGCCCUAUUACAAAAGGUACAAUACUAGUUCUUCAGCACUAACAUUUUAAUUUCAUUUAAAGUCUGAAACUGCCAUUGCAAAAUUAUAAUGGAGACAGUGAAAGAGAUCUGACUAACCAACUCCAUCUUGCUUUAAUCUCCAAGCUGUGUUUGUUCAUUCAGUUGCUUCUUGUUUAGUUAGGCCAAACUAACUUUGGGAGGAACUUAGUUUAUAGUUUAAAAGAAAGAUGAUAAGCGCUCUUUCCCGUAACAAACCUCCUUCUUGCCUGGGGACUAGAUUGCCUUUGUAGGACUAACAAAUUAGCCACAAGAUUAGAAAUUAUGGUUUAGGAGUCAUGCAGCUGGAGCUACAAGAUUCUGACCCUCCCUAAAUUGCUCCUGGGGAUAACAUCACUAUUGUAAAACCUAAGACCUAUGCUUGAGAUGUUUUGCAGACCCCACACUUGAUGGAUCAGCUGUCACUACACAGAGCGAUAAACUGGCUCAUCUGGUCUUGUGGUCCUCACGCAGGAACUGACUCAGCUCAAGAGAAAAGCUUCAACUCCCUAUGAUUUCAUCUUUGACCCGACCAACCAGAGCUCCUGACUCACCCACCCACUACCCACCAAAUUAUCCUUAAGAACUCUGAUCCCUGAAUGCUCGGGAAAUUCAUUUGAGUAAAAAUAAAACUCCAGUCUCCUGUACAGCCAGCUCUGUGUAAAUUACUCUUUCUCUGUUGUAAUUCCCGUCUUGAUAAAUUGGCUCAGUCUAGUCAGUGAGCAAGGUGACAAGUCCAAGAGAAAAAAAUAUUUUUUGAAAUACACAUAUGUGAGUGCAUGUACACAUUCCUUGUUCUCAAAACUUACUGUAACAGAACUCAAUGUUAACGUCAUUCCUCGCUAAGUUACAAAGUUAAGAAUAACACAGUGGUGUGAAUUUUUUAAUCAAAGAAGUACAAGGUAUUUUUAGAUUGUUUCUAAUGACAGAGUUUUACUGAUGUUCUUGUUUCCAUGCAUCUCCACAUAUCUCCACAACUGGAAAUUCCACUAGCAGUAUUCUUUCAUGUAUUCCUUUCUUCAUUCAUUCACUAACUACUUUUUGGAAGGGUACCAUGUGCGAGACACUGUUCUUGAUACAGAGAUGAACAAAAAAGAAAAAAUCUUUGCCAUAAUGGACCUUGCAUUCAAGUGUGGGGAGACAAGAACAUGUAAACCAAUAAUACUUUCAAAUAGUCUGAUAUGAAGAAUAUGCAACGCAGUAAAGAGAUACAAAGAGAGAGGGAGCUAUGUUAGAGAGGCUGGCCAAGUAAGGAUUUGCUAAAUUUUCACAUUUGAAAGGAAACCUAAAUGAUGUUUAUUAUCACGGGGAUCUUGAGGAUAAGUACUGAUGGCACAGGAAGCAGAAGGUACAAAUCCCUGAGGCGGCAAUUCAAGGAAUAGAAAGGCCAGGUGGCUGGAACACAGUAAACUAUAACAGAUUGUCUCCAUUAAAUGCAAAGAAAUUUAACUGAAAACAUAGUAAACCCUUCAUAUAUUUCCUAAGAAAUGCUGCACCUGACAGGGAGAAAAUAGAAGUUUUAGAUGUGAAUGAUGGGUAUUCUGAUAGACUCAAUAGUUAAGAGACACUCUCUCUCACAUCAGUCUGGCAGAAAAUAUGAUUCAAAUGAGUACAGUAGGGAAUUUAUAAAUUAUUACAUGUCAUGACCUUUGGAGUCUGAGGUAGAUUAAAACCACAAGAAUUGAC